rnacentral:lncRNA from 1 species
AAAUGGAGAAGGAGACAGAGGCAGAAGAGAGGAGAGCAGGGAGAGGACAGAAUCUCUCUGCUGGAGAAACUUGUUGACAAAUUCAAUAUAAAGUUUGCUGCUGGACUUGGAUGGGCUGCCACAAUAAAGCCCCUGGUGUCUCCUGAUGCAUCAUCUAAAAUACAUUAUUGCAGGUGAUGAAACAUAUCUUCAAUAAUGAUUGAAAAUAAAAAAAUAAAAGUAUUGUCUCUGGUUUCCGUUCUCUGGGAACAAAUGUUAAAUUAAGCCAUCAACUGUGCUUGAUAACUUCAGAGAGUUGCUGAGAGUGGCGACAGGAGCGGCAAAAUGUAGGGGCGUGAACAGCUGGUGACGUACCAGGAAGUCCCCCGUAGACAGUACCGUCUCAUUUCGUAGACCGCUCGGUUCAAGCCUUCGCGGUAUACGGAGAUCCUGGCCUCCAAAGAUCGCGAAGGUUACGUCCACCGAAGGCUGCAGCCCCUGAAUUGAGACACAGCCAAGGGGAAGGGAACAUUUCAAAAUAAAACAGGAUAUAGAAAAUCUCGAUCAUGACACUAACAUAACGAAAUGUGGAAAAAGUGAAGGGGUAUGAAUACUUUCUGGAUGCACUGUAUAUACAAACACUUUCACAGAAACGCUCAAAAAUACACAAAUGAUCAAUAAGACCUGUUGGGUAUUUCUUCUCUGAGGAUAUUUGAUACCAAGGCACUAACCCUAACCUCCAAUACACACACACACACACACAUUACACACAGUAUACAGAACAUAAACAGCAGAUUUACACACUAGAUUCCUGGGAGAUCCAAUUCUUAGACGAACAUUCAUACAGUAGUAGUUGGUAAAAUAUAGCUUACAAGCACA